rnacentral:tRNA from 1 species
ACCGUCCUGGUCGAACGGCACGACCUGGCCUUCGGAACCAGCAGGUGGAGUUCGAAACUGGUGCACGGCG